AAUAUUCCAAUACCAACAUUAGUGUGCGAUGGAAGGACGCUUAGGGCUAAGGGGGCUAGCGGAUGGAAGUGCUAGUCUAAGGUCGUAGGAGGUUAUACAGGCAAAUCCGUAUAACAAUACUCCGAGAACUGAAAGGCUUUUUGAAGUCUUCGGAUGGAUAGAAGAACCCCUGAUGCCGUCGAGCCAAGAAAAGUUUCUAAGUUUAGCUAAUGUUGCCCGUACCGUAAACCGACACAGGUGGGUGGGAUGAGUAUUCUAAGGCGCGUGGAAGAACUCUCUUUAAGGAACUCUGCAAAAUAGCACCGUAUCUUCGGUAUAAGGUGUGGUUCGCUUCGUAUUAGGAUUUACUCCGAAAGCGAAGAAACUUACAACAAAGAGUCCCUCCCGACUGUUUACCAAAAACACAGCACUCUGCUAACUCGUAAGAGGAUGUAUAGGGUGUGACGCCUGCCCGGUGCUCGAAGGUUAAUUGAUGGGGUUAGCAUUAGCGAAGCUCUUGAUCGAAGCCCGAGUAAACGGCGGCCGUAACUAUAACGGUCCUAAGGUAGCGAAAUUCCUUGUCGGUUAAAUACCGACCUGCAUGAAUGGCGUAACGAGAUGGGAGCUGUCUCAAAGAGGGAUCCAGUGAAAUUGUAGUGGAGGUGAAAAUUCCUCCUACCCGCGGCAAGACGGAGAGACCCCGUGGACCUUUACUACAGCUUGACACUGCUAUUUGGAUAAGAAUGUGCAGGAUAGGUGGGAGGCUUUGAGUAUAUGACGCCAGUUGUAUAUGAGCCAUUGUUGAGAUACCACUCUUUCUUAUUUGGGUAGCUAACCAGCUUGAGUUAUCCUCAAGUGGGACAAUGUCUGGUGGGUAGUUUGACUGGGGCGGUCGCCUCCCAAAUAAUAACGGAGGCUUACAAAGGUUGGCUCAGAACGGUUGGAAAUCGUUCGUAGAGUAUAAAGGUAUAAGCCAGCUUAACUGCAAGACAUACAAGUCAAGCAGAGACGAAAGUCGGUCUUAGUGAUCCGGUGGUUCUGUGUGGAAGGGCCAUCGCUCAAAGGAUAAAAGGUACCCCGGGGAUAACAGGCUGAUCUCCCCCAAGAGCUCACAUCGACGGGGAGGUUUGGCACCUCGAUGUCGGCUCAUCGCAUCCUGGGGCUGGAGCAGGUCCCAAGGGUAUGGCUGUUCGCCAUUUAAAGCGGUACGCGAGCUGGGUUCAGAACGUCGUGAGACAGUUCGGUCCCUAUCUGCCGUGGGCGUAAGAAGAUUGAAGAGAUUUGACCCUAGUACGAGAGGACCGGGUUGAACAAACCACUGGUGUAGCUGUUGUUCUGCCAAGAGCAUCGCAGCGUAGCUAAGUUUGGAAAGGAUAAACGCUGAAAGCAUCUAAGCGUGAAGCCAACUCUAAGAUGAAUCUUCUCUAAGCUCUCUAGAAGACUACUAGUUUGAUAGGCUGGGUGUGUAAUGGAUGAAAGUCCUUUAGCUGACCAGUACUAAUAGAGCGUUUGGCUUAUCUUUAAUAAAGCAU
rnacentral:rRNA from 1 species